GCCAGGCUUGGUGGUGAGUGCCUAUAGUCCCAGCUACUCGAGAGGCUGAGGUAGGAGGAUUGCUUGAGCCCAGGAGUUCUGGGCUGUAGUGCCCUAUGCUGAUUCGGUGUCCGCACUAAGUUCAGCAUCAAUAUGGUGACCUUCUGGGAGCAGGGGACCACCAGGUUGCCUAAGGAGGGGUGAACCGGCCCAGGUCGGAAACAGAGCAGGUCAAAACUCCAGUGCUGAUCAGUAGUGGGAUCGAGCCCGUGAAUAGCCACUGAGCUCCAGCCUGGGCGACAUAGCGAAACCCUGUCUCU
rnacentral:SRP_RNA from 1 species